CAGCAGCCGCGGGAAUACGUAGGGUGCGAGCGUUAAUCGGAAUUACUGGGCGUAAAGCGUGCGCAGGCGGUUCGUUAAGACAGAUGUGAAAUCCCCGGGCUUAACCUGGGAACUGCAUUUGUGACUGGCGAGCUAGAGUAUGGCAGAGGGGGGUAGAAUUCCACGUGUAGCAGUGAAAUGCGUAGAGAUGUGGAGGAAUACCGAUGGCGAAGGCAGCCCCCUGGGCCAAUACUGACGCUCAUGCACGAAAGCGUGGGGAGCAAACAGGAUUAGAUACCCCAGUAGUCCCUGUCUCUUAUAC
rnacentral:rRNA from 1 species